GAACGAGGAAAUAAUUUCAAUACAUUUAAGUUCUAGGUCGCCCACCAGUAAAAUGCGGAAAUACUUUUAAGUUCUAGGUCCCCCACCAGUAAAAUGCGGGAAUACAUUUAAGUUCUAGGUCGCCCGCCAGUAAAAUGCGGGAAUACUUUUCAGUUCUAGGUCGCCCACCAGUAAAAUGCGGGAAUACAUUUAAGUUCUAGGUCGCCCACCAGUAAAAUGCGGGAAUACAUUUAAGUUCUAGGUCGCCCACCAGUAAAAUGCGGGAAUAUUUUUCAGUUCUAGGUUGCCCACCAGUAAAAUGCGGGAA
rnacentral:lncRNA from 1 species